rnacentral:rRNA from 1 species
AGAGUUUGAUCCUGGCUCAGGACGAACGCUGGCGGCGUGCCUAAUACAUGCAAGUAGAACGCUGAAGAGAGGAGCUUGCUCUUCUUGGAUGAGUUGCGAACGGGUGAGUAACGCGUAGGUAACCUGCCUUGUAGCGGGGGAUAACUAUUGGAAACGAUAGCUAAUACCGCAUAACAAUGGAUGACACAUGUCAUUUAUUUGAAAGGGGCAAUUGUUCCACUACAAGAUGGACCUGCGUUGUAUUAGCUAGUAGGUGAGGUAAUGGCUCACCUAGGCGACGAUACAUAGCCGACCUGAGAGGGUGAUCGGCCACACUGGGACUGAGACACGGCCCAGACUCCUACGGGAGGCAGCAGUAGGGAAUCUUCGGCAAUGGGGGCAACCCUGACCGAGCAACGCCGCGUGAGUGAAGAAGGUUUUCGGAUCGUAAAGCUCUGUUGUAAGUCAAGAACGGGUGUGAGAGUGGAAAGUUCACACUGUGACGGUAGCUUACCAGAAAGGGACGGCUAACUACGUGCCAGCAGCCGCGGUAAUACGGGGGAUGCGAGCGUUAUCCGGAUUCAUUGGGUUUAAAGGGUGCGUAGGCUGUGCGUCAAGUCGGGGGUGAAAUUCCGGUGCUCAACACCGGGGCUGCCCUUGAUACUGUCGCGCUGGAGUGCGGAUGCCGCCGGAGGAAUGAGUGGUGUAGCGGUGAAAUGCUUAGAUAUCACUCAGAACACCGAUUGCGAAGGCAUCUGGCGAAUCCGUAACUGACGCUGAGGCACGAAAGCGUGGGGAUAGAACAGGAUUAGAUACCCUGGUAUUCCACGCCGUAAACGAUGAUGGCUAACCGCCGGCGACACACUGUCGGUGGCCAAGCGAAAGCGAUAAGCCAUCCACCUGGGGAGUACGUCGGCAACGAUGAAACUCAAAGGAAUUGACGGGGGCCCGCACAAGCGGAGGAACAUGUGGUUUAAUUCGAUGAUACGCGAGGAACCUUACCCGGGCUCGAACGGCACCUGGAUCGCCCAGAGAUGGGCGAGUCUUCGGACAGGUGUCGAGGUGCUGCAUGGUUGUCGUCAGCUCGUGCCGUGAGGUGUCGGCUCAAGUGCCAUAACGAGCGCAACCCCUGCCGCCAGUUGCCAUCAGGUGAUGCUGGGCACUCUGGCGGGACUGCCACCGCAAGGUGUGAGGAGGGGGGGGAUGACGUCAAAUCAGCACGGCCCUUACGUCCGGGGCGACACACGUGUUACAAUGGCGGCCACAGAGGGAAGCUACCCCGCGAGGGGAUGCGGACCUCGAAAAGCCGUCCCAGUUCGGACUGGAGUCUGCAACCCGACUCCACGAAGUUGGAUUCGCUAGUAAUCGCGCAUCAGCCAUGGCGCGGUGAAUACGUUCCCGGGCCUUGUACACACCGCCCGUCAAGCCAUGGAAGCCGCGGGCGCCUGAAGUCCGUGACCGUAAGGAGCGGCCUAGGGCGAAAGUGGUAACUGGGGCUAAGUCGUAACAAGGUA